UCGUUGGAGAGGAAUCGUUUUUGGAUUAGAAAUCAACUCUUAAUGUUAGUGGGGGAUUGCGUUAGUAUAACAGGAUAUUGGUUAUGAAAAGGAUAGCAGCUAUAUCAGAGUUACACUUCAAAUUUCACUCUCAUAUCCACUUCACAUUCCCUCCCAUGUUGAUUGAUAGACACGCCCUAUUCCCUGAGUACCCACUCAAGUCAGGAGGAUCUGUUCCUCUGAUGUGGUUCUACAUGCAGCUGAGGCAGAAGCUGUUCUCCUUUCUCAUGCAGACCUUUGCUAAGACCAGCAGAAGAUGAGAUGGUGCUCAUUAACCCACAUGGCUUCUUCAGGGGGUUCAAACCCAGAGUCUCUGGUUCCCCAUUAGCCUUAACCAUCCACCGUCUUUAAUAUGGCUUUAUCCAUGCGCUACAGUUGGUCUUCAUAAGUUAUUUGUUAGUUUCAUGAGUUCAUUUGUCCUUACAAUUUGUAGACAAAACCUUUUUGUGGUCGUUUCAUAAGAAGAAAUUCUCAACUUCCAAUGAUUGUCUUUACAAGUGUAAGAUUGUUUAAAUGUUCUUUUAAGCGCUGUUGUACUGAACCUGAUGGCUGCUGGGUUUAGAUUUAAUAUAAUAAAGUGCUGGGAUUAGAUCCAAUAUAUUGCUGGGUUUAGCUCUGAUAUUAUACUGCCGGGUUUCAAUGUUAUUUUAUAGUGCUGGGUUUAGAUAUUAUAUUAUAGCGCUGGGUUUAGAUGUUAAGUUAUAAUGCUGGGUUCAGAUGAUAUACUAUAGCGGUGCGUUUAGAUGUUAUAUUAUAGCGCUAUGGUUUAUAUAUAAUAUAAUAGUGCUGGUUUUAGAAGUCAUAUUAUAUUAUAGUGCUGGGUUUAUAUAUAUAUAUAUAUUGUUCUGGGUUUAGAUGUCUAUGGAAAGCACUGGAACAUUUGAGACCCAAAUGGUUUGCAUGUGGGCGCUACUUGACAUUGCUACAGGUGAUUUUUCCUACUGUUUUAAACUGAAUAAAAUGAAGUUUCUCCA